GGGGAAUCUUCCGCAAUGGACGAAAGUCUGACGGAGCAACGCCGCGUGUACGACGAAGGCCUUCGGGUUGUAAAGUACUGUCUUCAGGGACGAAUGGUAAGUGUGUGAAUAAUGCAUUUACAUGACGGUACCUGAGGAGGAAGCCCCGGCUAACUACGUGCCAGCAGCCGCGGUAAUACGUAGGUGGCAAGCGUUGUCCGGAAUUACUGGGUGUAAAGGAUGCGUAGGCGGAUAUGUAAGUCAGAUGUGAAACCCCCGGGCUUAACCCGGGGCAUGCAUUUGAGACUGCAUAUCUAGAGUGCAGGAGAGGAAAGCGGAAUUCCUAGUGUAGCGGUGAAAUGCGUAGAUAUUAGGAAGAACACCAGUGGCGAAGGCGGCUUUCUGGACUGUAACUGACGCUGAUGCAUGAAAGCGUGGGGAGCAAACA
rnacentral:rRNA from 1 species